UGCAAAAUAUUGUUGAAAAUCUUAUUAGAAAUGAUAAUUUCAGUAAUUAUUUGAAAAAAGGUGUGUUAAUAUGGAUUCAACAAGGAAAUUGGCCAAGACACGCGAAUGAUACAGGAUUAAUACCGCGACACUAGUAACACACAGCAGCAGUCCAUGAUUUUAUACAUCCCGACGUAUAUUUCAAAUUCAUUAUACGAGUACGUGAUAUGAUCCGUU